ACUGCAUCAGGAUGAUGUUGACAGUAACUCUGAGUGUCAUGCUGGUUUUUCUGAGUCAGGAAUCUGCUGCCAACAAAUUUCUGACUCAGACUGACUCAGUCAAGUCUGUUAGUCUUGGAGGGACUGUGAACAUCGGAGCCACAGGGAGUUCAGAUAUUGGUGCUGACCUCAGUUGGUACCUUCAGAAACCUGGACAGGCUCCCAAGCUUCUCAUAUACAAAGCAUCAACUCUUCAAUCAGGAACUCCCUCUCGAUUCAGUGGCAGUAGAUCUGGUUCUAGCUACACCUUAACCAUCAGCGGGGUUCAGGCUGAAGAUGUUGGAGAUUAUUACUGUUCCGGUGAUCAUGGCAGUGGAGUGUUCACACAGUGA